UAGAGAUCGGAAGGAACACCAGUGGCGAAGACGGCCCCAUGGGCUGCUCCAGACACUGAAGGCGAAAGCUAGGGUAGCAGAACGGGAGUAGUAACCCCGGUAGUCCUACACCGUAGACGACGGAGACUAGGUGUAGGAGCUUAUAACUCCUUCUGUGCCGGAGCUAACGCGUUAAGUAUCCACGCUUGGGGAGUACGCUCGCAAGGCUAAAUCUCAAAGGAAUUGACGGGGGCCCGCACAAGCAACGGACGCGUUGUGGUUUAAUUAGUAUGCAACGCAGAAGCACUUUACUCAGGGCUUGACAUGUAGGUAGUAGUGAAGCGAAUAGUGGUUCGAUCCUUCGGGAAGCAUACACAGCUUCUGCAUGGUCGUCGUCAGCUCGUGCCGUGAGGUGUUAGGUUAAGUCCUGUGACGAGCCGCUACUCCACUGCCGUUACGUUACAAGUGUCUCACGGGAUUGCCCGGCAAUACUGGGAGGAACGCGUGGGGAUGACUUCAAGUCAGCUCUGGCUUGUAUGUCCCUGGGAUACACACACGUUACAAUGGCCGCUACUAUGGGUUACCAAGCCGCGAGACGGAGCCAAUCCUCUAUAGUCGGUCUCAGUUCGAAUAGUAGGAUGCAACCUGCCUGCAUGACGUUGGAGUUGCUAGUAUCCGCAGGUCAGCCACACUGCGCUGAUACGUUCCAGGGCUUUGACACACCGACAGUCACGUCAUGGAAGCUG
rnacentral:rRNA from 1 species